GACGAACGCUGGCGGCGUGCUUAACACAUGCAAGUCGAACGAUGAAGCCGGAGCUUGCUCUGGUGAAUUAGUGGCGAACGGGUGAGUAACACGUGAGUAACCUGCCCUUGACUCUGGGAUAACUGCGGGAAACUGUAGCUAAUACCGGAUACGACCCUCGGAGGCAUCUCCUGGGGGUGGAAAGAAUUUUGGUCAAGGAUGAGCUCGCGGCCUAUCAGCUAGUUGGUGAGGUAAUGGCUCACCAAGGCGACGACGGGUAGCCGGCCUGAGAGGGUGACCGGCCACACUGGGACUGAGACACGGCCCAGACUCCUACGGGAGGCAGCAGUGGGGAAUAUUGCACAAUGGGCGAAAGCCUGAUGCAGCAACGCCGCGUGAGGGAUGAAGGCCUUCGGGUUGUAAACCUCUUUUAGCAGGGAAGAAGCGAAAGUGACGGUACCUGCAGAAAAAGCACCGGCUAACUACGUGCCAGCAGCCGCCGUAA
rnacentral:rRNA from 1 species